rnacentral:rRNA from 1 species
GACGAACGCUGGCGGCGUGCUUAACACAUGCAAGUCGAACGGAAAGGCCCUGCUUUUGUGGGGUGCUCGAGUGGCGAACGGGUGAGUAACACGUGAGUAACCUGCCCUUGACUUUGGGAUAACUUCAGGAAACUGGGGCUAAUACCGGAUAGGAGCUCCUGCUGCAUGGUGGGGGUUGGAAAGUUUCGGCGGUUGGGGAUGGACUCGCGGCUUAUCAGCUUGUUGGUGGGGUAGUUGCUUACCAAGGCUUUGACGGGUAGCCGGCCUGAGAGGGUGACCGGCGACAUUGGGACUGAGAUACGGCCCAGACUGGUACGGGAGGCAGCAGGGGGGAAUAUGGCACAAUGGGCGGAAGCCUGAGGCAGCAACGCCGCGGGCGGGAUGACGGCCUUCGGGUUGUAAACCGAUGUAGCCUGUGACGAAGCGGGAGUGACGGUAAUGGGUAAAGAAGCACCGGCUAACUACGUG